CUGGCCGUAAACGAUGGAUACUAGGUGUGGGAGGUAUCGACCCCUUCCGUGCCGGAGUUAACGCAAUAAGUAUCCCGCCUGGGGAGUACGGCCGCAAGGCUGAAACUCAAAGGAAUUGACGGGGACCCGCACAAGCGGUGGAGUAUGUGGUUUAAUUCGACGCAACGCGAAGAACCUUACCAGGCCUUGACAUCCAAUGAACUUUCCAGAGAUGGAUUGGUGCCUUCGGGAACAUUGAGACAGGUGC
rnacentral:rRNA from 1 species